GGUGACUGCGUACCUUUUGUAUAAUGGGUCAGCGACUUACUUUUAGUGGCAAGGUUAAGCAUUUGCGGAGCCGUAGGGAAACCGAGUCUUAAUAGGGCGUCCAGUCGCUAGGAGUAGACCCGAAACCGAGUGAUCUAUCCAUGGGCAGGUUGAAGAUGCAGUAACAUGCAUUGGAGGACCGAACCGACUGUCGUUGAAAAGCCAGCGGAUGACUUGUGGAUAGGAGUGAAAGGCUAAUCAAACUCGGAGAUAGCUGGUUCUCCUCGAAAACUAUUUAGGUAGUGCCUCGUGUCUAACCAUGGGGGGUAGAGCACUGUUUCGGCUAGGGGGUCAUCCCGACUUACCAACCCGAUGCAAACUCCGAAUACCCAUGAGUUCAAUCACGGGAGACACACGGCGGGUGCUAACGUCCGUCGUGGAAAGGGAAACAACCCAGACCGUCAGCUAAGGUCCCAAAGUUUAUGCUAAGUGGGAAACGAUGUGGGAAGGCUUAGACAGCUAGGAGGUUGGCUUAGAAGCAGCCACCCUUUAAAGAAAGCGUAAUAGCUCACUAGUCGAGUCGGCCCGCGCGGAAGAUAUAACGGGGCUAAGCAUAACACCGAAGCUACGGAUGCACUUUGUGCAUGGUAGAGGAGCGUUCUGUAAGUGGUUGAAGCGAAAGCCGUAAGGCAUCGUGGACAUAUCAGAAGUGCGAAUGCUGACAUGAGUAACGAUAAGGGAGGUGAAAACCCUCCCCGCCGGAAGACCAAGGGUUCCUGUCCAACGCUUUUCGUGGCAGGGUGAGUCGGCCCCUAAGGAGAGGCUGAAGAGCGUAUCCGAUGGGAAACAGGUUAAUAUUCCUGUACUGAUUAUAACUGCGAUGGGGUGACGGAGUAGGCUAGACUAGCACGGCGUUGGUUGUCCGUGUUUAAGGUUGUAGGCUAAGGACUUAGGUAAAUCCGGGUCCUUGUUAGGCUGAGAACCGAUGACGAGUUCCUUUAUGGAAUGAAGUAGUUGAUGCCAUGCUUCCAGGAAAAACCUCUAAGCUUCAGGUUAUAACUAACCGUACCCCAAACCGACACAGGUGGUCAGGUAGAGAAUACUAAGGCGUAUGAGAAAACUCGGGUGAAGGAACUAGGCAAAAUGGCACCGUAACUUCGGGAGAAGGUGCGCCGGUUUUGGUGAUGGGACUUGCUCCCUAAGCUGAGGCCGGUCGAAGAUACCAGGUGGCUGCGACUGUUUAUUAAAAACAUAGCACUCUGCAAACUCGAAAGAGGACGUAUAGGGUGUGACGCCUGCCCGGUGCCGGAAGGUUAAUUGAUGGGGUUAGCGCUUGCGCGAAGCUCUUGAUCGAAGCCCCGGUAAACGGCGGCCGUAACAAUAACGGUCCUAAGGUAGCGAAAUUCCUUGUCGGGUAAGUUCCGACCUGCACGAAUGGCGUAACGACUUCCCCGCUGUCUCCAACAUAGACUCAGCGAAAUUGAAUUACCGGUCAAGAUGCCGGUUACCCGCGGUUAGACGGAAAGACCCCGUGCACCUUUACUACAACUUCACACUGGCAUUAGGCCGAACAUGUGCAGGAUAGGUGGUGGGCUUUGAAGCGUGGACGCCAGUCUGCGUGGAGCCUCCCUUGAGAUACCACCCUUGUUCUGCUUGAUGUCUAACCGCGGUCCGUUAUCCGGAUCCGGGACCCUGUGUGGUGGGUAGUUUGACUGGGGCGGUCUCCUCCCAAAGAGUAACGGAGGAGCACGAAGGUACCCUCAGCAUGGUCGGAAAUCAUGCAAUGAGCGCAAGAGUAGAAGGGUGCUUGACUGCGAGAUAGACACAUCGAGCAGGUACGAAAGUAGGUUCUAGUGAUCCGGUGGUUCUGUAUGGAAGGGCCAUCGCUCAACGGAUAAAAGGUACUCCGGGGAUAACAGGCUGAUACCGCCCAAGAGUUCACAUCGACGGCGGUGUUUGGCACCUCGAUGUCGGCUCAUCACAUCCUGGGGCUGAAGCCGGUCCCAAGGGUAUGGCUGUUCGCCAUUUAAAGUGGUACGCGAGCUGGGUUUAGAACGUCGUGAGACAGUUCGGUCCCUAUCUGCCGUGGGCGUUUGAGAUUUGAGAAGAGUUGCUCCUAGUACGAGAGGACCGGAGUGGACGAACCGCUGGUGUUCGGGUUGUUUUGCCAAAGGCAUUGCCCGGUAGCUACGUUCGGAACGGAUAACCGCUGAAAGCAUCUAAGCGGGAAGCUUCCUUCAAGAUGAGAUCUCACUGGGAACUUGAUUCCCCUAAAGGGCCGUUGAAGACUACGACGUUGAUAGGUUGGGUGUGGAAGCGCUGUGAGGCGUUGAGCUAACCAAUACUAAUUGCCCGUGAGGCUUGACC
rnacentral:rRNA from 1 species